rnacentral:rRNA from 1 species
AGAGUUUGAUCCUGGCUCAGGAUGAACGCUAGCUACAGGCUUAACACAUGCAAGUCGAGGGGAAACGAUAUUGGAAGCUUGCUUUCCGAUAGGCGUCGACCGGCGCACGGGUGAGUAACGCGUAUCCAACCUGCCCACCACUUGGGGAUAACCUUGCGAAAGUAAGACUAAUACCCAAUGACGUCUCUAGAAGACAUCUGAAAGAGAUUAAAGAUUUAUCGGUGAUGGAUGGGGAUGCGUCUGAUUAGCUUGUUGGCGGGGUAACGGCCACCAAGGCUACGAUCAGUAGGGGUUCUGAGAGGAAGGUCCCCCANAUUGGAACUGGAGACACGGUCCAAACUCCUACGGGAGGCA